UUCCAAGCUUAAGACCUAGGCUUGGACCUGGCAGUGUCAAGUUUACUGCAUUGUAUUGAUCAAAGCCAGUCACAGGACCAUCCCAGAUGUAAGGGAGGGGCAACGGACUCCACCUGCUGCAUAAGAGGUGUGGUGUGGGACAAGAGAGAUUGGUUGUGGGCAUCUUUGCACUCUGUCUCCCACAGACGGCCACCCAGAACUGCAUUCCAAUGAAUGCCUGCUGCCUUUGACUUCUGUUCUUAUAGAGUAGCAAAUUGAAGCUCUGGUGACGCGGAGGGCCCAGAAAAAACACAAACGAUAGAAGUGGAGAAGCUGCAGAAAGGAGAUAGUGCUGUUGAAGAUGAUGGCUCAGAACAAGAGAACGGUCUUUAAUCCUGAGUCUACCACUCUGCUACCAAGGAAUGUCGAAGAGAAAAGUGGAGCUCAAGUUCUCAAGUUUUUCUGGAAUCUAAGACAGGGUAAGACAACAAAGCAGGUACAUAUUUUGGUUUAACUACUUCUGCACUUGUUUUAAGACAUCUUCAAUGAGACGUUGAGUGUUUUCAUUACAUAUCAUGAAGUAGGUGAAAAUCUUUUUUUUUUUUUUAACUCUAGGUCUGAAUAUAUGGAGCCCAUUCUCAGUUAUUCACCUCAUUUGAUUUUGGCUUCUUGAGAUGGAUGUGUGGGUAGGCUGCUAUGGUUGUUCCUUUUGUUGUUGUUGCUGUUGUUAUUUUUUCCCCAAGCACAAACACAUUUUCUUUGCCUAGAAUCCAGUUUAGGAGCUUGUAUGAGAGGAUGGCAGCUGAGAAGUGAUGUUAGAGUGCGUGUGUUGCUGUCCCAGGUGGUUCCCUGAUGGAUUAGACUUCCAAGGAAGGAAAAAAAAUUCAGUUCAUUGCAGCAGGUUCAAGAUGCCAACCUGUGUUGUUAUUUCAUCCCUGGGGAGUAAAUUAAAGUGAUACUGUUUCUUCGAUAUACCUUGGAACCAACAAAGAGAAAAUAAUGACUUGUAGUGUGUUAGUGUGGGUAAGUUGCUGGAAGUAGCAGGAUCCACGCCCCCACCCCCAACCUGUGCUGAGGUCAUUAUAUCAAAAUCUUCAAACAUUGAAUUUGCUCCUCAGGGUGCCUGGGUAGCUGAGUCGGUUGGGCAUCCGACUUCAGCUCAGGCCAUGAUCUCGUGGUUGGUGGGUUCGAGCCCUGUGUAGGGCUCUGUGCUGACAGCUCAGAUCCUGGGGCCUACUUCAGAUUCUGUGUCUUCCUCUCUCUUUCUGCCUCUCCCCUGCUUGCACUCUGUCUCUCUCUCUAAAAAAUAAAUAAAUAUUAGAAAAAAGGAAAUGCUUCUUU
rnacentral:lncRNA from 1 species